rnacentral:lncRNA from 1 species
UUCCUGUUUUAACAUUCUCUUUGCUAAGCUGAGAGCAGCUUUUCUGAUCCUACUGUAUCCUUAGAUCCUCCCAAUGACCUAAGCAUUGUCCUCCACAUCUCUCCUUGCACAGAAGCAAAUGUCUGGGACAGCCCUACUGAACAGUGCCCUCUAGUGAGCCUUUGGGUCCCCACCUGGCAUCUGUGGAGGGAAUGACUGGAUGACCACAGAGAGAAGAUAGAGCCCAUGCUCCUCCUCAGAGGACUGCCAAGCUCCUACUGUGUGCAGGACUAGAAUGAUGAAGCAGCUUAAGUCACAGUAAGCAUGCUCCGACCGACGUGAGAUCAACGGAAGAUGUCCAAGGGAGUGACUCACCAAACAAGCGCGAAAAUAAGGGUGACUCUUCUUCACACUGCGGUAUGCAGUGGUUCACACUGAUUGUCAUCUUGACAGGAUCCAGACCUGCCCAGGAGACAAACCUCUG